UACGUAGGGUGCGAGCGUUGUCCGGAAUUACUGGGCGUAAAGAGCUCGUAGGUGGUUUGUCGCGUUGUCCGUGAAAACUCACAACUCAAUUGUGGGCGUGCGGGCGAUACGGGCAGACUGGAGUACUGCAGGGGAGACUGGAAUUCCUGGUGUAGCGGUGAAAUGCGUAGAUAUCUGGAGGAACACCGGUGGCGAAGGCGGCAUCCUGGACCGGUAUUGACGCUGAGGCGCGAAAGCCAGGGGAGCAAACGGG
rnacentral:rRNA from 1 species